rnacentral:tRNA from 1 species
AUGUAGCCAAGUGGAUCAAGGCAG